UAAAAAAGAUUAAAUGUUCAAGCAAGCAAGAGAAAAGGAAAUCUGUAGAGCAUUUGGUUCUGAUGGUCCCGCCAGGGACCAGUCGAGGAAGUAGUACUGACUGAACAGAGCAAACUGUUGACAAAGGAAAAAGGAAAGGACAGGACAAAGCAGCCACACGUAAGCAGGGAGCCGCAGGUGCCGCCCUCAGCCCAGCUUUCCAGUCCCACCACAGUGCUCCCACCGCAGUGCUCACCCUCUUCCGCGGUGGCUCAGCCAGCUGCAGCCUCUGCCUGGACUCUGUACUACGCAUUUCCUCUGCACGCCAUCGGGAUAGCUAAGUUACUGCACUUCAUAGGGAUGUGUGAGUUACACACAGUUAAGGACUCUUGAUGUUAGAGACUUUGGGAAGGUCUGAAAUAGGAGAAAACUUGCAAUGGAGUAUUUACCUAAAAGGUUUCAAUUCUCAAAAGAAAAGUGAGGAUGCCUAACGCAAUCAGUGAAUCUUUUUAAACUAUUCCAACAUCAUGAACAAGAUAUUAAAUUGUACCUAAGGAUUUGUAUUUCUUUAAGUCUUGUUCUAAAUCAUAUCUGUUUAAUAAAUGACUAGUUAAUAUUUGUGCAUGUUAUUUAAUAAAGAGUUAUAUUUUUAUAG
rnacentral:lncRNA from 1 species